CCCUUAGACGUUCUGGGCCGCACGCGCGCUACACUGACCAGUGCAACAAGCAUCCGUCCUUGGCCGACAGGCUCGGGCAAUCUUUGAACGCUGGUCGUGAUGGGGAUAGACUUUUGCAAUUUUUGGUCUUCAACGAGGAAUUCCUAGUAAACGCAAGUCAUCAACUUGCAUUGAUUACGUCCCUGCCCUUUGUACACACCGCCCGUCGCACCUACCGAUUGAAUGGUCCGGUGAAGCCUCCGGAUUGGCGCGCACCUCGGUGCCGCCGAGAAGUUGGCUAAACCUUACCACUUAGAGGAAGGAGAAGUCGUAACA
rnacentral:rRNA from 1 species